rnacentral:rRNA from 1 species
GAUGAACGCUAGCGGCGUGGAUAAGGCAUGCAAGUCGAGGGGUUCUCGUUUCGGCGAGGACACCGGCAAACGGGUUAGUAACACGUAGAUACAUACCAUUCACACAGGCAUAACUCAUCGAAAGAUGAGCUAAUUCCUGAUAGUCCCUCCUUCGGGCGGGUAAAGGUUUCGAGCAAUCGAUUCCGGUGGAUGAAUGGUCUGCGGCUUAUCAGCUUGUUGGUGAGGUAAUGGCUCACCAAGGCAAUGACGGGUAGGGGAUAUGAGAGUGUGUUCCCCAACAAGGGCACUGCGACACGGGCCCUACUCCUACGGGAGGCAGCAGUCGAGAAUAAUUCGCAAUGGGCGAAAGCCUGACGAUGCGACGCCGCGUGCUCGAAGAAUCCCUUCGGGGUGUAAAGAGCUUUUCUGG